CCUACGGGAGGCAGCAGUGGGGAAUAUUGCACAAUGGGGGAAACCCUGAUGCAGCAACGCCGCGUGAGUGAGGAAGUAUUUCGGUAUGUAAAGCUCUAUCAGCAGGGAAUAGAAAAGAAGGUACCUGAACAAGAAGCGCCGGCUAACUACGUUCCAGCAGCCGAGGGAAUACGGAGGGGGCAAGCGUUGACCGGAUUUAAUGGGUUUAAAGGGAGCGUAGGCGGAAAGGCAAGUCAGAAGGGAAAACCCAAGGCUUAACCAUGGUACUGCUUUUGAAACUGUCAAACUAGAGUACGGGAGAGGUAAGAGGAAUGCCUGGUGUAGCGGUGAAAUGCGUAGAUAUUAGGAGGAACACCAGUGGCGAAGGCGUCUUACUGGACCGAAACUGACGUUGAGGCUCGAAAGCGUGGGGAGCAAACAGGAUUAGAUACCCGUGUAGUC
rnacentral:rRNA from 1 species